AGCCCCGGAGCCCUUAAUGGGCUCUUUUUCAAACUUGCAUUUUGAUGUGAAUCACUUCGAGGCUU
rnacentral:tRNA from 1 species